UCUCAGAUAAGUCGUAACAAGGUAACCGUAAGUCGUAACAAGGUAACCGUAGAGUUUGAUCAUGGCUCAGGGUGGGAAAGUCGUAACAAGGUAACCGUAAGUCGUAACAAGGUAGCCGUAGAGUUUGAUCCUGGCUCAGGAUCAAGUCGUAACAAGGUAACCGUAGAGUUUGAUCAUGGCUCAGUAUAAGUCGUAACAAGGUAACCGUAAGUCGUAACAAGGUAGCCGUAUAGUUUGAUCAUGGCUCAGCCUUUGACUUAAAAAAAUGGAGAAGUCGUAUCAAGGUAACCGUGAGUCGUAACAAGGUAACUGCAGAGUUUGAUCAUGGCUCAGGAAAGUCGUAACAAGGUAGCCGUAAGUCGUAACAGGGUAACCGUAGAGUUUGAUCCUGGCUCAGCCUUA
rnacentral:rRNA from 1 species